ensembl:lncRNA
AAAAAACAUUUUUAAGGGUCUAAGUCUGCUGGAUAAUGGAAUGCCUGCUUAAUCUGGAAGCCAGCCACUCCACUGUGUCAGAGGAAACACCGUACACCUGGCGAAUGUGUCAGCGUGCAUGCACCUGGCCCGCUAGAGCAUGAUGGGACAAGGACAUCCCUGCGGGCCAAAACCCUCCCCUAACCUGGACAACGCUGGGCCAAUUGUGUGCCGCCCCAUGGGUCUCCCGGUCGCGGUCUUGUGGCACAGCUAGCAACUGCGAUGCACUAAUAUGAGGAAAUAUAUUUUCGUAUAUAAACUGACGGCCAAAUUAUGACACAAAUCAUUUGAACUGCGAGGCUGGUAACUCUAAUGAACUUAUCCUCUGCAGCAGAGGUAACUCUGGGUCUUCCUUUCCUGUGGUGGUCCUCAUGACAGCCAGGUAACUCUAAUGAACGUGUCCUCUGCAGCAGAGGUAACUCUGGGUCUUCCUGUCCUGUGGUGGUCCUCAUGAGAGCCAGGUAACUCUAAUGAACGUGUCCUCUGCAGCAGAGGUAACUCUGGGUCUUCCUGUCCUGUGGUGGUCCUCAUGAGAGCCAGGUAACUCUAAUGAACGUGUCCUCUGCAGCAGAGGUAACUCUGGGUCUUCCUUUCAUAGUGCUUGACGUUUUUUGCAAUUGCACAUGAAGAAACCUUUAAAAAGUUCUUGAAAUUUUCCAGAUUGACUGACCUUCAUGUCUUAAAGUAGUGAUGGAUUGUCGUAUCUCUUUGCUUAUUUGAGCUCUUCUUGCCAUAAUGUAGACUUGAGCUGUGUUUGAAUACCCAUUCUAACAUAGUGUAUACUACAUAUUUAAUGAGUAUAUACUACAUACUAUUAGUUCAUUUUAGUAUACUGGAAACGAAUGGUAUCCUUUCAGUUGAGCUACGCCUGUCUACCGGAAAGUUGAUGCUUUCGCUAUGCAACCGCUUGUUAUUUUAACAAAUUGCUAGCUAAACAUUUUACGAUUUCGGGUUUGUUCGUAAAUUCAGACUCUCGGAGCGUUCAGAGCGCACACUGGACUGGCGGAGGAGCUACGGUUGAUCCGAGGGUUCAACCGGCAGUCAAGCACUGGCUAACGUUGGCUAGUUAUUCCAGACACAUCAUGAGAGAACACCUCACUCUGACCAUUUUACUCCCCCAAUCAGAGCUGGUUAGGUUGUUUGUGUUAUCCAGAGCGUUGGUGACUAAAUGUGCUGCUGGCAACAAUUUAAUUACGCUUUUUUUUUGCUGAUGUUUACUGACACCGGCCAUAUUCAACAGGUGUUGAAUGUUUGUAAAUUCAUCAGUUAUUCUGCGGGAGAAAUCAGAGUAGAUAGCUAAGUGGUAAAGUUGUAC